GAACUGCCACUUAUGCAAUUAUGCACUGC
rnacentral:sRNA from 1 species